UACAGAGGGUGCGAGCGUUGUCCGGAAUCACUGGGCGUAAAGGGCGUGUAGGCGGCUGGAUAAGCCGCGUGUGAAAUCCCGGGGCUCAACCCCGGAACGGCACGCGGGACUGUUCGGCUAGAGAAUGGUAGAGGCAAGUGGAAUUCCUGGUGUAGCGGUGGAAUGCGUAGAGAUCAGGAAGAACACCCGUGGCGAAGGCGGCUCUCUGGGACGGUACUGACGCUGAGACGCGAAAGCGUGGGGAGCGAACAGG
rnacentral:rRNA from 1 species